CUAGUACUCCCUCCGUCCCAAAAUUCUUGUCUUAAAUUUGUUUAAAUACGGAUGUAUCAAGUCAUGUUUUAGUAUUAGGUACAUCCGUAUCUAGACGAAUCUAAAACAAGAAUUUUGAGACGGAGGGAGUAACAU
rnacentral:pre_miRNA from 1 species